rnacentral:rRNA from 1 species
GAUGAACGCUGGCGGCGUGCUUAACACAUGCAAGUCGAACGAUGAAGCCCAGCUUGCUGGGUGGAUUAGUGGCGAACGGGUGAGUAACACGUGAGUAACCUGCCCUUAACUCUGGGAUAAGCCUGGGAAACUGGGUCUAAUACCGGAUAGGAGCGCCUACCGCAUGGUGGGUGUUGGAAAGAUUUAUCGGUUUUGGAUGGACUCGCGGCCUAUCAGCUUGUUGGUGAGGGAAUGGCUCACCAAGGCGACGACGGGUAGCCGGCCUGAGAGGGUGACCGGCCACACUGGGACUGAGACACGGCCCAGACUCCUACGGGAGGCAGCAGUGGGGAAUAUUGCACAAUGGGCGCAAGCCUGAUGCAGCGACGCCGCGUGAGGGAUGACGGCCUUCGGGUUGUAAACCUCUUUCAGUAGGGAAGAAGCGAAAGUGACGGUACCUGCAGAAGAAGCACCGGCUAACUACGUG